rnacentral:lncRNA from 1 species
UGUGGCCUUGGCCAGGUACUUCCAUUGGCCUCUCCUCUCCUUGCCUUUCCUCAGUACAAGGCAGACACCCUGAAGUCUGUGCAGGCUGGACAGGACCUCAAAGAGGAACACCCAUGGGUCGACUACACCUCCCCAUCCCUCAUCACACUGCUGUUUACGGACUUAGGUGUGUUGACACCAUCCGCUGUAAGCGACGAGCUCAUCAAGCUGUACCUGUGAGCAGUGCCCCUCCUGCCAACAUGCAGGGAGCACAUCUUGUGCAGGGUGAGCAGCCUUUCCACUCCAGCCAGCCAGGGGCCAACAAUGGGACUUUCAGACCUGUAUGCCAAGGGCUCAUUUCAGAGGCCCUGAAGAAUCCUUUUACUCUUGCUGUCACAUCUGAAGCCUGGUCCCAGUUCUAGAAGCAAGGUGAAGCAACCUUGUGGUUUUUAGAGACUCAGUCUCCGGAAGAACAAGUUAAUUACAGACUGCAAAGCUGAGGAGAGAUGGCACAGGAGCAGGGACCCCCCAGCCGUGCUGCAUCACUGAGAGAUGCGGUGACAUUGGCUGAGUACACACCUUCAGUGCCUCACAAGACAGCAGACACUGUAGCUGACGGCAUCUGGCUCCAUGCCCUCAGCAGGAUCCAGCCAGAUAGAAAAAACACCAAUGCAGGAGCCAUUCACAUGGCACUGUCACAGAAUGUUGUCUGUAAAAGAUGCGAGUUUACUCUAAACAUGUUUAAAACCUGAACCGUGGGUUUUUUGUUUUUUGUUUUUUUUUUUUUAAGUUAAAUGUGAGAACAGGCCAGGAUAUUUUCCAGUAAGUUGUAUGAACAAUUUGGAUAUGGUAUUGCCUCACACAAGUUGACAAAGACCAGAAACAGUGCAAGCACAGUUGGGCAGAACCUGUUACCAGAAAAGGCCUAGCAGCACUUCUCAGGAUAAGAUACCCUUCCUGUUUUCAAUAAAACACCACCAGAGCCCGUUCUAAAAUGUUCUCAACCCCAAUCUGGGUAUCAUGGCACCAGCCUGUGGUCCCAGAACUCCUGGCUAAGGCAGGGGGUCAGUCUGAGGUCAUCCUGGACUACAUAGUUGUCUUAGUUUGGGUCUCAUUCCUGAAAGAGACUCCAUGGCAACUCUUACAAAGGCAAACAUUUAGCUGGGGCUGGCUAGUAGUUCCAGAGGUUCAGUCCGUUAUCAUCAUGGUGGGAAGCCUGGCAGUGUACAGGCUGAUGUGGGGCUGGAGAAGCCGAGUUCUACACCUUGAUCCAAAAGCAGCCAGAAGGCUUUCUUCCACACUGGGUGGGGCUUGAGCCUAGGAGCCCUCAAAGGCUGCCUACGCCAUGACAUACCUCAAGGCCACACCUAAUAGUGCCGCUUCCCAUGGGCCAAGCAUAUACAAACCACUACAAUGGUGUAGCCCUGUUGCAAUGAAAAGAAGAGAAAAAAGAACCCUACACACAGUCCCCUCUGCCCCUGUGGGUGCUCUUGGUAGGGCUGUAAAGGAAAUGCAAAGUGUGGGGUGGGAGGAGGCCAGGGCAUGUCAAGUGACUUAGAAAUUUACAAGGCCUAAAAUCAAGUAUACUUUAUUAUCUGUUUUCUUAAAAGUGAGAAAAAUACAUACAUACAUACAUAUAUAUAUACACUUUAAGUCAGUAAUAAAGCACAAAAGUCACCCCAGAAAAAGCACAAUUAAUCAAAAUAAAUACUGAGAUCUGUUAUGUACACUC